rnacentral:lncRNA from 10 species
AGACGGAGAUGCUUACCAAACCCAUUCUCUUCUUCCCAGGCACACAGUUACAGCGUGUUUCCCCAUCUCUCAGUUGUUUUGCCAUGUGACGGACUGAAUUCUAGAAAAUGUAAUGUGGACAGAAAUAUUGCUAUACCUAUUCCAUAAAACUUCCCACAACUGAACCUUCAUUGUGUUUUACCAUUUACCAGCUGGUUGGAGAGGAUCAGGAUCUAAAGGGGGUCACAGAGCCUGGAAAAAGCUAAGACACACUUUCCCAGUCUCCUGCAAGUUGGACGGUGGCUGUGUGACAUGGUCUGGCCAAUGAGGUGUAAACCUGAGUCUGCUGGAAAGAUACUGGAAGAACUUUUGAUAUCCUGAUAAAAGGAACACACAUCUCUAUCAUUGCUCCCUUUCCCCUUCCUCCAUCUGGGAAUGCAGAUGUGAUGACAGAAGCUGCCAUAGCCACUCUGCAGUCAUGAGGCAAAAAACACAAAAGCAUGAGGACAAAGUGCCAUCAUGCUAAGGAGAGCACAGCAAAAAGACAGAAAGGCUCUGGUCCUAAAUGGCACAGCUAACAAGUGCCCAUUUCCAUGCCUCUUGCCAACCAACACAAUUCAUGUCCUUAUGAUUUCAAUCCCUGGUGGUCAGGUUUUGGUCACUUGAAGCUAAAAGCAUUCCUAACUGAUUCAAACCCCAAAUAAAAACAUUGCCCUAAUGAUGAAACAGAAAUUGGUUACUUUGGCCUCAAUUAAAAAAUGAAAUGUAGCUAAUCUUUAACAAAUUCAAUCCUAAAUAGUUCUCUUUAUGCCUACUGUCAGGCAGGCCCUUCUUCUGUGGCUGGAUCUGAUUUCCUAAAGCCUUAAUUUCUAACUCAACAUAGCAAAGAGGUGGAGGGAAGCCAUCGUGCCCAAACCCUCAUGGGGGUCAUGACUUACAGUUGACUGAGGAUGGCCUCCAUUUAUCACAUAGUCUAUUGCAACUUGAGGUUCCUUUAACAAAUACUAGGUUAUAACAUUUAAAGCUGAUAUCACAGCUUCUGUUACAAGAAUAUUAUUGUACUAGUUUCCUAAGGUUGUUGUAUAAAUUACCAUAAACUGGGUGGCUUGAAACAGAAAUUUAUUCUCUUAUAGUUCUGGGGGCCAGAAUUCUGAAAUCAGUGUGUCAGCAGGGCAUUCUCCCUCUGAAGGCUCAAGGGGAGAAUCCUUCCUUGCUUCUUUGAGCUUCUGGUGGCUCCAGGUGUUCCUUGGCUUGUGGCAGCAUCACGCCAAUCUUCGUCUUGUCUUUACAUGGCCUUCUCUGCUUCCUCUUCUCUUUUGUCUGUCUUCUUUUCUUAUAAAAACACUUGUUUGACUUAGGGCCUAUCCUGUUAAUCCAAGAUGAUCUGAUCUUGGAUCCUAAAUGAAUUAGAUUUAUAAACACUCCUUUUCCAAAUAAGGUCACAUUCACAGGUUCUACGUGGACAUAUCUUUUGGAAUGCCACCAUUCAAUCUACUACAACUCUAGAAAAUUUAUUCCACUUUCCUUAUUUAUUUUUGUUGGGUCUCAUGAACUUUGAUUUUUUUAAGCUGUGUGAGGAAACAUUUAUGGCAAUUUAAGUUUUGUGUUGCAUCAGAAUUUAAGGUUGUUUCAGG